CCGAGCAGGCAUCAAUUUGAAUUCUCAAUUACAUGGUACCAAAUGUUUUUUUUAUUAGUGCACAAGUUUCAAUAAAGAAAGGAUGACUAAAUAUGUGUAUUAGAAUUAAGAAAAACUCAUUUCCCUUAUUUUUCCUAAGCUGUCGACUUCUCUUCCCCAAGAACAGAACCAUCUUUUUCUUCUUUCAAAUUUAAUUCCGUAAGAGAAAUUCAAGUAGUAGCUGCAAUACCUUAAAAGAAAAGGUGAAUUCUUCGAUUCUCUAUCUCUCUAUGAUUUUAACUUGAAGAAAAUUUCUGUUUUGAAAUCUAGGGUUUCUUCGAGAAUUUGGAGAUUUUAUGCUAGAGUUAAAAUAUGAUUGUAAUAUUGAGAUAUAUUAUGUUUUUGAUGUUCCUAAGCAUGAUUAUGGUGGUUAAUUGUAUUAAUUCUUACUUGAUUUCGAGUUUACUCAAGUUAGUAUGAACCCUAGGUUUGAGGUUGAGAGUUUUGAUUAUGUUCUUGAAUAAUUGGACUCAUAUAUGUGUUCUUGAGUUGGAAUUAUGUCAUAUAUGAGUAAAUUACGAGUUUACACCAUAUAGGAUGUGAGAUUGAGUUUGUUAGUUUAAUGAAAAUUGGGGCUUUUGAGAUAAGAAGGUUUAUAUGCUAUUUAUUGAUGGAUGUAGAUAUAUUAUGAUGUGAUUUUAUCAAAUAUAUGGAAAUUAGAACAGCCCUAAUGUGUGGAAAAUUGUUAUAAGAAUUGUUAUGUUGUAACUUGUUGGCUUUGUUGUGUUAAACAUGAGUUAAGUUUGAAGUUAAAGCAUUCUAGUAUGUAUUAUGAUCGUGUAUUUGAGUCUACACAUUUUAUUUGGCCAAAGUAUGAGUUAUAUGUUGAAUUGAAACAAAGAAUACAUUGAUGUCAGUUUUUAACUUGGCAGAGCAGUGUCUUGGGGGAUGAUUUUAAUGAUGUUCCCAUAGUCCAAAUGAGUUGAAAUUUUUACUGUAAUAACUUUAUCAUGAGUAGUACGUUUCUGCAAAAUUUCAGCUAAAUCCGAGACCAUUAGAUGUGUCAAACGAGUUUCUGAAAUGUACUGCGCGAAGCAGCGAAGUUCAGUGGCAGAUUUUGCCUUUUGUGAGAUAAUUUCAUAUACACUUGAGAUAUUGUAUUUUUGUAACUUUCUAAUAAAAAUAGACUCUGAGAGAUUUCUAAAAAUGUAAAGUUUGUAUUUUUUCUUUAAAGAGGUUGAUUUUAUAUGAUAUUUCAAAGUUGAGAUUCAUAUAUGAUUACAUAUUUGAGAUUUCUUACUUGAGCAAGUUAUUAAUAGAACUAUGCUAAGUGAUUGAUGUUUAGUUAUUAAUUGUAAGCUAAUCUAUAUAGAAUGGAUUAGGUUACUCUUAAGCUUUUCUCAAUUUGAGAUAUCCCAAGAGAUGUGAUGUUACUAUUUUGCUUUUAGUUAAGUCCAUAUAAGUAGAAUACUCAGAUUAGAGGAUGCAACUUUCAAGUGAUAGAAGGUUCAUUCAAGAUUUACUUUCUAUUUACUUACUUAUUAUCCAAUCUUACGUGGGAACCUCAUUAUAAUGAAGGUUCGAGUGGCUUUAUAAAGUAAACAAGCAAGGAUCUCUACUUCAUUAAGCAUACCAGGUGGGCAUUACUUUUACUAUACGUAUAUAGAGAUCCCCUGCGUGUCGUAGGCCUCUUAUACGAAUGAAUGCAUGAGAUGAUUUAACUGUUAAUUUCAGUUUCAUAUAUAUCAAAUGAGUUUAAUGUUACGUUUGAGCAAGUUAUUUCAUUACAAAAUCUUUGAGUUAAAGUUAUUUCAAGUAUUGUCUUGCCAUAAAAUGUUUAAAUUUUAGUAUGAUAUCUAUCUGCUUUGGCUUUGCCAAUGAUGCAAUCGAAUUCGGGUCCUGAGCAGUUGAUAGCUAUCCUGCCAGGGCUAGUGUAUACCAGUGACCGUGAGUCAUCUAGCGGGUUGGCCGGUCAAGUGACCGUGAGAGGUGGCCACCUCUCCGGCACACAGUUCCAGAUAUGAUAGAUUACAAGAGAAUUUAGACUGCAGUCGAACUUUAAGAAUCACAAAUGAACUUAGUAGGCUUGGGCCUUUUUAGCGAAAAACUCCAUUGCUUUACUAUUUAUGAUGGCAUGAUAAUUCACAAUUUUGAAGUAUGUAUUUUUAUACUUUGGCAUACGUGCCCACUGAGUACUUUUGUACUCAGCCCUGCAUAUACUUCUAAAUGUGCAGGUUGAGCAGCUGCCGGUGGUGAUGAAGUGAUGAGCGGAGCUUUUGUCAUUAAGUUAUAAUAAAUGAACUCUUGGAUACAUGUCUUCAUACAUGUAAUCAGAUUAUCUUAUUCCGCUGCGUACUCAGAAGUUUUAUGUUAUUUAGGCUAAGUCGGAGUUCUAUCCGAACUUACUAGUUAUUUGAGUCUUUGCGACUAAACAUCAGUUAUAUUAUAAAUUUUCCCUUCUUAACAACGAUUGAAAUAUGAUCCUUCCUUAUUUAUUUACCCCAUUUCUAUCCCCGCUUCUAUUCUCCCUCCCUUAGUCACGGUUUCCCGGCUUAAUAAUCCUUAAUUAGGUCCGGUCGUGACAGAGUGGUAUCAGAGCAGUUCAUUUACUCUGAACCCUAGAGUUAACCAAUUUUCCUAGUCGGAUUACUAGUACGAAAGAGUCGGUCGACAAAAGCUCAUCACUUCAUCACAUCGUCGUGCUCAACAAGAAAGAAAGCGGUAAUGAUUUUCAAACAUUGAAAAGUUCACGUUUUAAGUGAAUGUACUGAUGCUUACAUUCAAGUUUUAUGCUUUAUUGUUUGAUUAGAUAUCCCACUGAACUUAGAUGCAUUAAGAAUGCAUGAUCACUGUCACGAGAAGAACAAUAGGAAGUUAGAAACACAGUUAUAUUUCACUAUAGCCAUGGUGAAAGCCAAGAAAGAGGAAGAGAAUCCAAUGAAAGCAGUCAGCGACGCCACAGCACACUAACUUCAUUCAGGUUGUCACGCGAGACGGAACACUAAUCGACUAUUGCCUUAUUCGAUGAUAGUUUAAGUAUGAUAUUCUUAUAGCGAUGAGUGCGACUUAUGUAGUCAGUUAGCUAAUCCCUAAUAAGCCGAGACUCACUUCUAGCCUCGAUUAUCACUAGCUAUGGCUUGAGGAUAACCUUCAUGAUUCAUGUAUGAACUUCAGAGUAGACUACGAGAGGUCAAAAUGCUUUGUAUAUGAUGUUAUAAUAUCGAUUAAAGCUAUCAGCUUAUAGUUUCAGAUAUUCGGAACCAUUCUACUUACAGUACCUAUCGUAUUAGAUGAGAACAUGACUGAGAAUCCUAUUGUUACGAUCACCUACUACGAAUUGGAAAGACGAGAUGGAUAUGGGUACUAGCAGUUACCAACCAUUAUGAUUGAUCAUAAAAGUCUACGCAAGUGCGUAAGACGAGAGAAGUUCUCGAAGAUGGUUCAGAGUUUAAUAAUAACUAGAAGCGCCGACAGUGGAUCGAUGCUGAAACAAAUGAAUUAGUUCUAAUGAGACCCUAAGGAUAUACUCAAGAUUAGUAUACAUACCUUAACCUAUCAAGGACAUCGCCUCAGUUAGAACGUCUUGGAUUAGGCAUUUAGUUUAGUAGCCGAAAUGAGAGCAUUGACUAAGGUCAUUCCAUGACUUAGCAUUACGUAUGGUGACACAUACCCUGUAAACAUGCUCAGAGGAGAAAAAUCUAUUUCCUUAUUGAAUGCGUUAUGAUUCAGAAGGUCUUUUGCAAUGACACGGAAGAGUGAUUCAAAUUAUAUGGUUGCAUUUCAAGCGCUAUGUGAAUGAACACUAAGUACUAGAAGUACUACAUUAAGAUCAUGUAGAGGAAGAUUGCUGAGUAAGGUUGAGCCUAUCUUAUUUCGCCUAUAGAAGAUGUUUAGGGAUUGCAUUAAAUUAGGAGGCAGACUCCAAGUUUGAGAAACUCUAGAAUAUUCUCAAGGACAUGUUCAAGAUGUUAAGAAGAAAGUGGUAAUUUUUGACCAAAUAUACCUUUUGCAGCCAAUGAACAAGAGUUACCAAGUUCGGAAAAGUAUUUCCGAGUGACUGAGAGGUAGUUGUGUCGGACCUGGCCAGUCCACAUGGCCAAAAUCUCAGUAGUCGUCAUAUAUGGGUCUUUAAACCUAUAUAUUUUAAACCUUCAUCUGAAAAGCUAAACGGGUUAGACUAUUAGGUCAUUUCGUUCGACCUUCAGUCAAUUCAUUUCUACCCUAUGGUUAUUCAUUUUCAAUUGUUUGGCAAAUUUUUGGAACACUUUGCCUAAUUGCCAUUUGUGAUUUGAAUCAUUGCGAUCUACUACUGUUGGUAGAUUUUCUGUGACCCAAGGACAACAGUACUCAUCAGAUUAAAUCAGUCAACACGUAUGCUUCAACCCAAGGGUCAAGCACGUAAUGCAUGAGACAAUCUCUUUGCAUUUAGUAGGACUUAUUUGUGUAUUUGAAAACGAGAUCAUUUCGAUGCUUUUGUAUGCCCCUAUGCUGGCUUAGUUAUUUUGACUAGUAUUAGUACGGAAACGCUGGUUCAUAGGGCAUUUCGGAACUGAGCCCUUUCAUGAUGACCUUGCAAGAUAGCCAGUUCAUCAUGUAUAAUGCUUGGAUAGAUCACCAUAUCUAUAUUCAAAUGUUGAUGAAAUAGUCCUCAUUGAUACUAAUUUUCCCGUGUCUAUGUAGCGACCCUAUCAGUCUUUUGCGGCAAGUCACUUCCGCUAUGUUAUUUAUAUACUUUCAUAAGAAAGAGUGUGAGCAAGAUUUGAGAAUCAAGAAAUGGUUUACAGAAGUGAUGAUAUACAACUGUAUGUUUUGAUGAUUGUAUGUCGACUCAUUAGUAUGCCACCAAAACAAGGGCAUCCAAGAAGAGGGAGAAGAAUUCCCUAAGGUAAUGAAAAUAUUAGGGCUAAAAAAAAAAAACAUAGCCCCAUCACCCAUACAACUUGAACAUAGAAUAGAUGAACUAUUUCACGACAAAACUCACCUGCCUUCAGUAGGACAUGAAAUCCAGCAAAAGCUGAGACUUGGGUAAGAGCUAUUGAGUGCAUUUUCAAUUUCAUUUGCGUUUUACAGACCAGGAAGGAAAGCACAGAGAAAAAAAAUGAUAACAGUUGAACAAUUAGAAAAUUUUACGCGGGAUCAUUCUAAACAGAAAUAUAUCAUAAGUAUAUACCCCAAAGCUAUCGCAAGAAGAAGAAAAGUGGAUUUUACAAUCUAAAGUAGGGAAUAAUGAUCGUUACUCAGUACGAUAGGAUGUUCUGUGAUAUGUCGAGAGAAAGACCAGUAACGACGCCUAUGCCAACACCUCCACAGGCACAAACUCAGAACAUUUGAGGAAGAAGAAAAGAGGACAACAGUAACAGUUGUCAAGCGAAAAAGACACCAUGGCAGGGGCAAUCAUCCCAGCAACAAGGCUACAAAAGCUAAAAGGGUACUCCUAGACAGAUAGGAGAUAACCAACAAAGAAUCUUGCCCUGCCCAAAUUGUAACAAGAACCAUGGGAGAUGCUGCAAUAAUGGAAGAGUGGAAAUGAAGGUUGUUACACAGUAGCCAGAAGGGCAUUAUGCAAACCGUUGUUUGAAUAAGGAACAAGGGACGGGUCUAUGCUGAACUUGCUUGUCCAGGCUCCGUAUCUGCAAGCAAUCCAUGUUUUGCCCCACCACACCAAGAGUAGUAACCACGCCAACAACAAAAACAACAACAAUAACACAAGGACAAGACAUAAAGCUGAGCANAUAAUCGCGCCAGUUGCCGAAAGGGGUGCGCACAUAACAAUAAUAUUUCAGGAAACCCUUAUCGAAAGAAUUCAGAGAGGAAAGGAAGGUGGUAGGAUAUUUCGGGUGAGCAGCAAAGCUAUACAGGGGAUUGCCCUGCAUGCGGAGAGUCUGGGUCUGACAGAACAAUUUGGCGGUGUCCCCAACACCGUGAGCUCGGCAUAAAACAUGAAAGGCAUAUAAUCUCCGAAUGGCAGAAGGAGCGACUUGAAAAAGGGGAUGUGAAAAUAGUUACAAACAUCAACCAGCAGAAUAGGAGGAGGGAGUCUCAAACCAGCAUCUAUUUGAGCUUUCCAAACAACUAUCACCUUGGGAUGACGAAGGCUUUCAGGAGGCGUUGAAUCCUUACAAAAGGCCUCGAAUUUUAAACCAUCAGGACGCCUACAUUUGCUUUUCAAUUUUUCCACCUCCGCGACACUAAGGCGGGAUGGAGGAAUACGUUUGGGGGGUAGCGGGGCUUUUUCCCUUUCUCCUAGGUGGAGAAGGAGGGGGUGCAGUUUGAGAUUCGUCAGAAGUAGAGGGGGAAGGAAAAUUUUCAGGAUCUGGCCGCGUUGGGGAGGAAGAUGAAGGGUCUUGGGCAGAAGGAGAGGGCGAGCGAGAGGGUUGAGGGGCGGAGGUGCAGGCCAUGAGGGAAGAUGCCAACCCUAGGGUUUCUAGCACGCUCAAUCAGAGCACCAACAGUUAUACCACUACACUACGAUUAAAUACAAAAUUGCAGUGAAGAGGAUACGCGAGUUACCUAGACCGGAAAAAGAUGGACGGUAAAAACCUGGGCGGAAGGGUCGUGGGAGAAUGCCGGAACAGUGAGGAAAUCGACCGGAAAAUGCAGAAAAUUCGCUCGGAAAACUUGGAGAAGAAGAAUAGUAGAAAAAAAGGGGAGUUCGAACCGGCUAAGUAAGAUUGUACGCGGGUAACCACCAGCACGCGGGAUGAACGGCACGUGGCAUAAGGAAGAAAUACAACGGAUGGGAAGUUUAUACGGAAAGGCGAAAGGAACGCAAGGUUAAAAAGUAAACCUACGGUACGGGGAAAAGUAACUGUAGACUGGGCAGACAUUUAAUGCGGAUGACGUCAUCCACGCGGGCGAGUCCUCUGACUAGUUGCAUCUCUCCAGAGUGAACUAGCCAGACCAGGGAGCGGGAGUAACAAAAAUGCCAGAGAACAAUUUACAGGGCCUCUUUUUACUCUCAUAAUGUCAAAAUGUCAAAAUGCUUAUGUCUUUAUGAUUUACAGGGGCCAAGGAAAAUAACAAAGCUUUGAUGCUGAUAACACACCACUGGUUGAACACGAAGAAUACCCGGUUCAACCAGACUAGAGGGGGGAGUGGUUGGUGAGGAGCAAUAUAUGCAGAGUAGGGAGAGAGUACAAAUCAGAGGAACCACUCUCAUCAGAGGAGCCGUAUGGGUCAGAAGAACCAUUUAUACCAGAAGGAUUUCAUCCAUCAGAGGAAUGACUCUAGCCAGAGGAGUCAUCCGCACCAGAGAAGUCAUUCUUGACAGAGGAGCCCUCUCCUCCAGAGAAAUCAUCCGCGCCAGAAAAGUCAAACUCCAUCAGGGAAGUCAUUACCGCCAGAGGAGACGCCCUUGCCAGAGAAGACGUGUUUACCAGAGGAAUCCCUCAUGCCAGAGAUGUCAAUAUCACCAGAGAAGACGCCUUCGCCAGAGAAGACACUUCCAUCAGAGGAGCCAAUAAACGCGCGGGAAGGUCUCCCGCGUAUUAUCGAAAUUACCAACGUACCCUUCCACCACGCAGGACGCAUGCACCGAAGAUGUUUUUACUAUUUUACCCCUCCGCUUGUAAAUCUAUAAAUAGGGCCCGAGCUCGUGUAUUAUUUUUUACGCUAUCUCAUAUUUUUAAUACAACAGUCAUUUUUCUCUCUCGUAUUAAGUUUCCGAUCAUUCUACUUCGCUCUUUCCGAUCAGUUCCAAUAGGUAUAGUUUACUGUUUCAUCGUGUAGUUUUAGGUGUUGGUUUCAUUAAACACCACUUGUGUAUUUUUCAUGGAGAACAAGGAACCGAGAAAAGCAUCAGAGAUGUGACAAUCGAAUGAGAAUUUCUUGAUGUUUCCUGAAUAUCUCGCCGAUGUGCAACCAUUCUUUUCGAAAGAGGAAAAUUGGCACAUUGAGAAUGUGUAUAAACUAUAAAGAGUUGAACAAGGAGACAUUCAAGAACAAGUACCCUUGUCAAGGAUAAAUGACAUUUUCGAUCAGGUCAGAUGAGUGAUUGUAUUCUUAAAGAUAGACCUAAGGAUUGGGUAUCAUCAACUAAAGAUUUGGUCAGAGGAUGUACCUAAGAUGGCCUUCCGAAUUAGAUAUAGCCAUUAUGAGUUCGUAGUGGUGCCAUUCGGGCUAACCAAUGCGCCAGCCGUGUUCAUGGACCUCAUGAAUCGAGUGUUCCAUCCGUACUUAGACAAAUUUGUCUUGGUAUUCAUAGAUGACAUCCUGAUCUACUCGAAGAACGAGAAAGACCAUGAGGAACAUCUGAGAAUUUUCCUAGAAACGUUGAGGACGGAGCGCCUUUAUGCCAAAUUCAGCAAGUACGAGUUUUGGCUCAGCGAAGUCACGUUUUUAGGACAUAUUGUGUCAUUAGAAGGGAUUAAAGUGGACCCUGAAAAAGUGCAAGCGGUGCACGAAUGGAGAUCGCCUACUAACCCUAAUGAGAUAAGAAGUUUCUUAGGAUUGGCAAGUUACUAUCGGAGGUUUAUGGAAGGAUUUUCCAAAAUUGCAAGGCCAAGACGCAACUACUCAGGAAGGGAAUAAAAUUCUCUUGGACAGAGGAGUGCGGGAAGAGCUUCCAAGAACUCAAGGAAAAGUUGACUACGGCACCAGUGUUAGCCGUCCCAACAGCUGACAAGGAAUACAUAAUCUACACAGACGCAUCCAAAAAUGGACUCGGUUGUGUACUAAUGCAAGAAGGAAAAGUGACAGCAUACGCGUCACGACAGCUUAGGCCACAUGAACUGAACUAUCCGAUCCAUGAUCUAGAAUUAGCUGCAGUGGUACACGCACUGAAGAUUUGGAGACAUCACCUAUAUGGAGUUAGGUGUGAGAUAUUCACGGACCACAAAAGCCUGAAAUACUUUUUCGAGCAAAAGGACCUUAAUAUGAGACAAAGAAGAUGGCUCGAACUAGUGAAAGAUUAUGAUUGCGGUAUUAACUACCACCCAGGCAAGGCCAACGUAGUGGCUGGUGCAUUGAGUCGUAAGAAUCAAUCUAAAUUGGGAUCUCUUAUCACUUAAGAGAUGGAGCUCAUAAGAGAAUUUAGCAAAAUGAGCAUAGAAGUGGUUAAACCACCAGGGACGAUAGCAAGCGUUGUGGCAACGGUACCUAACUUGAGGAAGACGAUUGUAGAAGCACAAAGAAAAGACGGGAAGAUGGAAAAACUAUGGGAAGUGGUAAGGAAAGGAGGCGUCAAGAAUUAUCAAGAAGCAUCAGAUAAUGCUAUCCUCUUUGAGGGAAGGAUAUGCAUCCCCCACAAUGAUGAGCUUAAGGAUAAAAUCAUGAGUGAGGCUCGUGAUACCCCUUAUACUGCCCACCCCGGGAGUACUAAGAUGUAUCAAGAUCUAAAGAAGCAUUUUUGGUGGGAAGGCAUGAAAAGAGACAUAGCAUCCUUUGUAGAGAGAUGCCUAGCUUGCCAACAAGUGAAGGCCCUACACCAAAGGCCAUAUGGAAAGCUACAACCAUUGGAAAUCCCAGAAUGGAAGUGGGAGCAUAUAGCAAUGGAUUUUGUGACCAGUUUGCCCAAAACAAAGAGAGGAAACACUGCCAUUUGGGUAAUAGUGGAUCGACUCAACAAAUGUGCUCAUUUUAUACCAAUACCGAUCACACACGGGUCAGACAAGUUAGCUCAGUUGUAUGUUCGAGAGAUUGUACGCUUACACGGUGUACCCGUGUCAAUCACAUCAGAUCGAGACUCGAAGUUCACAUCUAGAUUUUGGAUGAGCUUACAGAAAGAGUUAGGCACGAGACUAAAUUUUAGCACCGCCUUCCACCCGCAGACAGAUGGGCAGUCUGAAAGGACAAUUCAGACCCUCGAAGAUAUGUUGAGAACAAUGGUGUUAGAUAGGGGUGGAAGUUGGGAAGCAGUACUGCCGUUGAUUGAAUUUGCCUAUAAUAACAGUUACCAGGCGAUUAUCGAUAUGGCACCAUAUGAGGCAUUAUAUGGAAGAAAAUGUAGAUCACCGCUUUACUGGUAUGAAGUGGGUGAGAGAAAAGUUUUAGGACCAGACAUGGUCAAUGAGAUGGUUGAGAUAGUCCGCCAGAUCAGAGGGCGAAUAAAGGAAGCACAAGAUAGACAGAAAUCUUACGCUGAUACGCGCCGAACUAAUUUAGAUUUUAAAGUAUGAGGCAAAGUCUUCCUAAAAGUAUUACCCUCCAAGGGAAUAACUAGGAUUGACGUAAAAGAAAAGAUUACACCACAACUUGUGCGACCAUAUGAAAUUUUAGAAAAUAGGCCCAAUAGCCUAUAGAUUGGUGUUACCGCCAAGUUAUGAGAAUGUCCAAUGUUUCCAACACAUCCCAACUUAGGAAGUAUGUUUUCGAUCCAAAGCACGUGAUCUACCAAAAGAAGAUGAUCCUUAGCCCAGAUUGAGCUAUAAAGAAAGGCCAAAAGCCAUCUGGGAUCAAAAAUUGAAACAACCCAGGAACAAGUCUAUCACUAUAGUAAAAGUCCAAUGGAGACACCAUGGAUAAGAAAAAGCAACGUGAGAACUCGAAAGCAAGAUGAGAGAAGUUACUCAAAACUUUUGCGAUAAUAGGCAAAUUUCGGGACGAAAUUUUUGUUAAGAGGGGUAGUAUGUAGUAGCCCGCUCUUUUAUUUAUGAUUAAGACCAGUAAUGCGAUAAUUAUUGUUGCAUCCUUCACUUAUUAAUUAUAUUAAUAAAAAAAACAGUAAUUAUUUAUGUUUAAAAUUCAGCUAUGAUUCUAAAUUGUAUGUAUACUAUGCUUAUUAUUAUUUUAGUUGUGCUUGUUAACUCGAGUGAGAAAAAUCGCAAUAUAAAUUAUUGAGCCAGUCAAUAAUUUAUAUUUUCAGAUUUAUAAUUGACUUAGCAAAGUCAAGUUAAAGUUGUUAUUUUAUAUGCGAUAGAGAUUUUAUUUCUAUUAGUUACUUGAAAGUCGUGAUUUAGUUCCGACUAAUGAGAACGAGUUAAAUUAGUUAUUUAAUUCGUAGAGAUGUUAUAUCGAAGCAUAAUUAUUCAGCAAAACCUAGAACCAAUUUUAUAGAUAUGCGAUGAUACAAAGAAAUUAGAUUUUCAGAUACAACUUUACACAAUGACUGUAGGAAAUUAUUUACAUCACCACUAUUCCCUACUUACAAUCAAAACCUAUCACUAUCACAAAACACUACAGCUACAUACCUACAAGCAUGCGGGAGAUAAUGCGUGAGAGUAAAAAGAAGAAAAAAGAGAGAAGACCAAUCGGCUCCUCCCUUCAACUCAGCCAACUGACUCAACCCAAAACACCUAAUGGAUUGACUCGCAAUCGUACGAGGUCGUCCUAGUGAAAUAAGCUAACCCAAGUCGUCUCUCAAGGAAGGCUAAACAGGGCUUUGAUCAUGCUACGCACAGAAAACAUGAAAUAAACCUAAACACUCUAAUCAGAAGUUUGGGUCUGACACUUUCUCUCCGAUUAACUAAUGCGUAAUUAAAAUAAAGCAUAUAAAGUUAACUAGGCAAAAGAUAGAAAGCCAAUAAGAAUGCAAGAAGGCAAACAAAGCUAGGGUUCUAAACUAGCAAUCUAGAAAGCAAUCAUCAAUUCAACACCAUAAACAACGAUUAUCUAGGCGAAAUAACAUAUUAACAUUUAAUCAAAUGAAUGUUAAGCAAACACACACAAUCAAAGAGAAUUUCGCAAGCAACUCAACGACGAACUAACUAGAACAUGGCAUUUGAACAUUAACGAAAUCAACUAGAGUUUCCAACUCCAACACUAAACCAAACGAUCAUAAACUCGUAAACAUCUAAGAUUAAUAACUACCUAGGCAAGAAACUCAAUCAAGCAUAAGAUUCGAAUGCAAGAAAAUCUUAAUCUCCAUAAAAGAAAUCUCUAAAUAUUCAUCAACAAGAAAGGAAAAGGGUAAACAAUCGCAACAAACUACGAAUCACGUAGAUUAUCUAAACUCAACAACAAUUAUCUCCAAUCAUCAUAUUAAUCAAAACACAAAAUAAAGAUUCAAAUAAACCAAAGGAUUUAGAAAACCAAGAGAAUCUAGAAUCAACAACAAUGAACUUCAAUCUUCACAUUCAUCAAAUACAUAAAACACAAAACUCAAUUAACCAAAAUAUUCAUAAAACCAAGAGAAUAUAAAAUCAACAACAAUAAUCUUCAAUCAUCAUAUUCAUUAAAGACAAGAAACAAAGACUUAAAUAACCAAGGGAUUCAUAAACAAAGAGAAUCAAAGGGAGUUCUUACAAAACAUAGCAAUCCAAGGAAAACCAAUUCGAUGAAGUGUUAAUUGACAUCCAAAGCAAUCCAAUGAAUCCAAGAUUGAAAGUAAUUGAUUUGGAACUCUAAAAACCUUAGGAAAGAUGUGAAAAUCGCCUCUAGAGGCUGCUGGGUCGAGAAUAUAAAGUGAAACCCUAGAGAUGGGUUUUAAACUCAAAAUCGUACUGUCGGAUCACGGAGUCGGCGGCCGCCUAGAGUAGGCGGUGGCCUAGAGUAGGCGGUGGCCUAGAGUAGGCGGUGGCCUAGAGUAGGCGGUGGCCUAGAAGUAGGCGGCCGCCUACUACCCCUUUCGUAAAUCCAAAGUAGGCGAGCGGCGAGGCUAGGCGGGCGCCGUGCGCGCGGUGUUUUUGUUUUGGUCCGUUCUCCCUCGUUUCAAGUCGGAUUUUAGAUCCAUUUUCGCCUACGAACUCGUAUCGAGACGAACUUUGAUUCUUCAUCAGACCAUUCAACUAAAUUCUGACUUUAAUUUUGUUCACAUAUCAAUCAAUGUGAGCACAAAAUCCUGAGACAACAAAAUUAGCACAAAAGCUCAAAUCAUUCAACUCUUAAGUGAAAGAGACCAAAAUAAAAGUCAAUAUAACACGUAAACACCCAGCGAUUUAUCACAAAAUAGGGCUAAACACCAACCACCAUCUCCAAUCUUUUGACUUUACAGCCAACAACUCACUUAUUAAAGCACCAGCCUAACACUUCAUUCCUUCUCUCAUACACCAAUCACCAGCAAGGGAGAUGAAGAGAAGUUAAUUCCUGCUGCCAACUGCCAAGUAUCGAGAGGUGAGUCUUGGCCUAAGUUUUCUUCAUUCCAUACUUGCUUCUUUCUGCAUUUGUUGAGGAAACAACAUUUGCAAUUUCAGUUCAUUCCCCAUUGAAUUCAAUAAUAACAGCAGCCACCAACACAUUCUCAAGGUAUUUUAUGCUAUCUCAGUUCACUACUUUCAUAUACACAUUUUACACCCCAACCAGAGCAUGCUUCUAUGUAUUAAAGGUUUCAGAAAUAAUAGGAUUAAGCAUACUACAGAGAGACAUAGCAAACCAUAUGCGAAUACAUGAUUUAUGGCGUUUCACAGAAGUAGUAUGAUUCAUUCAUUGAGAUAUUACCACUGUACAUAGAACCAAAAUCAUGAGUAUUCUGCCCUUAACAACUAGAUAUUGAAGUAGAAGAAGAAUGAAAAUAGAGAACUUAGCUUAAGAAAUAGGGCCGACUGCCCUGCUCUGAAUCGGGAUUGAACGGCGCCGAGGAGUAGGCGAGGCGACACCCUUCGCCGGGAACAGCGACAGCAACGGCGAAGCCGGCCUUCCAGUAGCAGCAGCGGCAUCGGGGCUCGGCGGAAAUCAGGUGACAGCAGCGGCCAUUCGCGAGCUUCCCAGAGACAACAACAGCAGGCGGCGUACCUCCUCUUCCAGAACCCAGCAGCGGCAGAGCACGGCUCGAACCCACCAACUUCGGAGAUAGCAACACGGCGGACCCUGCUCGCCGGAAUCGCACAGCAGCAGCGGUGGUACUCGCCGGUUCCGCGGAGGUGGCAGAUCGAAGCGGCGGCGGCGCUCUCUGAUUUGGGGAGGAAUUAGGGCUCGCCCUUCUCGCCUUGGACGAACUGUCAGCAAGAGGGGUUUUAGAGAAAGGAGGCGGCGCGGNUUCACAGAAGUAGUAUGAUUCAUUCAUUGAGAUAUUACCACUGUACAUAGAACCAAAAUCAUGAGUAUUCUGCCCUUUAACAACUAGAUAUUGAAGUAGAAGAAGAAAUGAAAAUAGAGAACUUAGCUUAAGAAAUAGGGCCGACCUGCCCUGCUCUGAAUCGGGAUUGAACGGCGCCGAGGAGUAGGCGAGGCGACUGCCUUGUCGGAAUCUGAGUUACAGUAACGGCGAAGCCGGCCUUCCAGUAGCAGCAGCGGCAUCGGGGCUCGGCGGAAAUCAGGUGACAGCAGCGGCCAUUCGCGAGCUUCCCAGAGGCAACAACAGCAGGCGGCGUACCUCCUCCUCCAGAACCCAGCAGCGGCAGAGCAUGGCUCGAACCCACCGACUUCGGAGAUAGCAACAACGGCGGACCCCUGCUCGCCGGAAAUCGCACAGCAGCAGCGGUGGUACUCGCCGGUUCCGCGGUGGUGGCAGAUCGAAGCGGCGGCGGCGCUCUCUGAUUUGGGGAGGAAUUAGGGCUCGCCCUUCUCGCCUUGGACGAACUGUCAGCAAGAGGGGUUUAGAGAAAGGAGGACGGCGCGGUCGAAGAAUGGACGCCGGCAACUCGAACAGCGGAGAAGAAGCGCGGCGUCGGAUGUCGACUGGAAUCGAGGGAGAGACCUUGACUGAUUUAGAGAGAGAAGGAGCUCUCGACUGAUUCUGAGAGGUAGGUGCGGCCACGCCGGACCUAGGCACGUGGCAGUUGACGCCGACCGGAGAAGGUGGCCGGAGAAGAAGAGGCCGUCGACCUUGAGAAGAAGAAGAGAGAGAUUGAGUUGAAAGAGAGAGAGAGAACGUAUCUGGAAAAAAAAAAGUGAGAAACGAGAAUUUAGAGAGAGAGUGAACCGAGUGGGAGAGAUAAGGAGGACUUGGGCCUUCUCUUUGAUAGAUUUGGGCUUUGUUAUUUAUUUUCAUUUGGGCUUUGUUAUUUAUUUCAUUGGGCCGAAUUUAUUUAAAUUAAAGCCCAUUUAUUUUAUUUUAAUUGGGCUGUUAUAUUAUCUUCGUUGGGCCUCGUUUGAUUUAUUUAAUUGAGCCCAGCUAAUCAAAUUAUUUAUUUAUUGGGCCAAGAUUUAUUUAAUUACUUGAGCCGAUGAAUUAUUUCAAUUGGGCCUCUCAUGUUAAUUAUUCAAGCCACUUCUACUUAAUUAAUUAUUAGGCUGCCUUAUGUUGAGCCUUUUAAUUAUUUAAUCUUAUAACAUUAUUUAUUCCUAUUUAUUAAGCCCGAUUAAUUAUGAGGUUAUAAAGCGAAUAAUCUGAAGUAUUUAUUUAUUUUCUUUUGACUACGAGGAGCGGGGUUUAUUUAAUUGACGUAUUAGAACACCCCGAAGAGAACGGAUUAAUUUUUGUUAAUUAUCCGGCUUCAUGAGACGAGACUUAGCUUUUGUUUAAAUCCGAUAGCUUGGAUUAACAAUAGAAAUUCCCUGAUUAUUAUCUCAGAAUAAUAGUUCAUGCAUAGGAGAUUCAUGCAUAGUUAAAUUACGCAUUCUCAUUUAUUUGAGAAUUUUUCCUCGAUUUAAAGUCUUACGUUAUUUUCCCGGAUUAAAGGUCGAGCGCAAGAAUAAGAGCUCAUCAAGGAGUCACUAAUCUGUAGCAAAGCUUUGCUAUCAGGUGGGCAUUACUUUCAUAUAUAUCAAAUGAGUUUAAAUGUUACGUUCAAGCAAGUUAUUUCAUGACUAAAUUAAUUGAAGUUAUUUCAAAUAUUGUCUUGCCAUAAAAUGUUUCAAUUUCAGUAUGAUAUCUAUCUGAUGUGGCUUUUAUCAUGUAAUCGAAUUCGGGUCUUGAGCAGUUGAUAGCUAUCCUGCCAGGGCUAGUGUACACCAGUGACCGUGAGUCAUCUAGCGGGUUGGCCGGUCAAGUGACCGUGAGAGGUGGCCACCUCUCCGGCACACAGUUCCAGAUAUGAUAGAUUACAAGAGAACUUAGACUGCAGUCGAACUUUAAGAAUCACAAAUGAAUUUAGUAAGCUUGGGCCUUUUAGCGAAAAACUCCCUUGCUGUACUGUUUAUGAUGGCAUGACAAUUUACAGUUUUGAAGCAUGUAUUUUUAUACUUAGGCAUAUGUGCCCACUGAGUACUUUUGUACUCAAGCCCUGCAUAUAUUUCUAAAUGUGCAGGUUGAGCAGCUGCUGAUGGUGAUGAAGUGACGAGCGGGACUCUUUUGUUUUAUUAUAUAUUAAUGAACUCUAGGGUUACAUGUCUUCAUACAUGUAAUCAGAACCUUAUUCCGCUGCGUACUCAGAAGUUUUAUGUUAUUUUGGAUAAGUCGGAGUUAUCCGAAUUUACUAGUUAUUUGAGUCUAUACGACUAAAUCUCCGUUAUAUUAUAAAUAUCC
rnacentral:lncRNA from 1 species